UCGAUGGGAGCCUGCUCCCUGAGACUAGCGGCGGACGGGUGAGUAACACGUGGGCAACCUGCCUAUAAGACUGGGAUAACUUCGGGAAACCGGAGCUAAUACCGGAUACGUUCUUUUCUCGCAUGAGAGAAGAUGGAAAGACGGUUUACGCUGUCACUUAUAGAUGGGCCCGCGGCGCAUUAGCUAGUUGGUGAGGUAAUGGCUCACCAAGGCGACGAUGCGUAGCCGACCUGAGAGGGUGAUCGGCCACACUGGGACUGAGACACGGCCCAGACUCCUACGGGAGGCAGCAGUAGGGAAUCUUCCGCAAUGGACGAAAGUCUGACGGAGCAACGCCGCGUGAACGAAGAAGGCCUUCGGGUCGUAAAGUUCUGUUGUUAGGGAAGAACAAGUACCAGAGUAACUGCUGGUACCU
rnacentral:rRNA from 2 species